GGUGGGGUUCCCGAGCGGCCAAAGGGAGCAGACUGUAAAUCUGCCGUCAUCGACUUCGAAGGUUCGAAUCCUUCCCCAACCACCA
rnacentral:tRNA from 4 species